rnacentral:lncRNA from 1 species
GGCUGUAGAUACAGGAAGCCGCUGCUAAGGUGGCCUCAGAGAGGAACCGGUGUGGUGAACUCCUGGCAUGCGCAGGUGACAAGAGGUUCCGCAGGGUCACAGGCUUAUUAAACUUGGAUGACAGUAAACCGAUGACUAACUGGAAUGAAUGGAGUCUCUACACAUCAAAUCGUGUGUCUUGACUACUCAGGAUGUCAAGGGCAAAGGUUAACUCCUGGGGGUUUUCUUUCUGUAUUAAGAUUCUCAAGAGAACAGAACCAGUGGUGGAUGUGGAAACAAGGCUCCGAAAAUGUUAAAGAAGCCACUCCUGGUCAUUACAUCAGCUAAACGACAGGCUCUGAUUCACCUGGGCUGUGGGAUUUCCAGGAUCAAAGCAAGUGUAAGAGGGCUGAUGGUGGGCCACUGUCACCACACCCUUCAUCUUUCACUGUGUCAUCUGAGGUUGUUCUACAGUGCCUUGCUUCUGAUUGUGCUGUCAACCUUCUCAGUCCCUGGGUUGGACCUAGGACAACAGGCCAGCCUUUGGUUAGCAUCAGCAGCUGAGUGGAGACUCGUCUCCAAGCAUCAAGGAUGUGAAAAUGUGAUCUUGUUGGGGAUAGUGGGAGCUUGGGGGAUGGGUUCCUUUGUACUUCUCUCAAGGUCUCCUGGUCCCUCCCUGUGUGUUUGUGGGCGCCACAGACAGCCUCACAAUCAGGAUGAGUGGUAACGGGACAGUCAAACACAAUGAAGGGAAUCAUUGUCUCACGAGAGUCAGAACAUCUGUUCCUCCCACCGCACCUGGGCGAAGGCCAAAUAAUCAAAAGAAGGAAACAGGAUCUGCCAACAACGCACUUUACCUUGAGUCUUUGUGUAGAGAAUACCUUCUCCAAGUAGGCGCCUUUCAUUGGCUCAGAUUUUCCCAUCUCAGUUGUCAUUAUAACUGAAAGCUAUUGUAGCUCAUAAUUUCACAUUGUCCUUUCAAAUAGAAGCAUCGCCAAGCAGAUGUGAACAAUUAUCUUCAAUUGUGAUUUUUUUUCCAUUAAAUUUCUAAAGGAAUACCUAACCUGGGUGUUCAAACAUUGGUUAAUCCAAA